rnacentral:lncRNA from 1 species
AGUUAAAGGGUGGGGUUUAGGAUUUAGGGUUUAGAGUUUAGGGUUUAGGGUUUAGAUUUUAGGGUUUAGGGUUUAAGGUUUAGGGUUUAAGGUUUAGGGUUUAGAGUUUAGGGUUUAGGGUUUAGAGUUUAUGGUUUAGGGUUUUGAGUUUAGAGUUUAGGGUUUAGGGUUUAGAGUUUAGAAAUGAGGUUUUGGGGAUAAGAUUUCAAAUUUUGAAAAAUAAAAAAAUUAAAAUUUUCAAAGGAUAAACUUAGAAAUGUGCUAUUUUGGUCAUUUUAGUUUUUGAGUGCUAUUUUUGUGAUAUAAACUUAGAAAUGUGAUAUUUUGGAGAUUUGCCCAUUAUUUAAUUAGGCAAUUAUCUCCAAAAAAAACACUAAAGUGAGUUUUUUUUUUCACCACAAGAACACGCAACAAGAAAAAUGACCAAACGUAAAAUAAAUUUCUACUCUUAAUUUUUAGAAAUAUAAAUACAAAUAAUUAUUUAAAUAAAUAAUAAAAAUAA